rnacentral:rRNA from 1 species
GACGAACGCUGGCGGCGCGCUUAACACAUGCAAGUCGAGCGAGAACCAGCCCUUCGGGGCUGGGGAAAGCGGCGAACGGGUGAGUAACACGUGGGUAAUCUGCCCUCGGCACCGGAAUAGCCCGGGGAAACCCGGAUUAAUGCCGGAUGGCCUCUCGAGCUCUCGAGCUCGUGAGAAAAGGUAGCUUCGGCCUCCGGCCGAGGAUGAGCCCGCGGUCGAUUAGCUUGUUGGUGAGGUAAUGGCUCACCAAGGCGACGAUCGAUAGCUGGUCUGAGAGGACGAUCAGCCACACUGGGACU